UCAUUUGUCAUUUCAAUAUGGUAGCAUGUGAUCGAUGAUGGUGCCAUGUUAGAAGCAAGCAAAAUACAAAUACAAUAAUAAAUAGAAGACGUUUGACGUUUCAAUGUAUGGAAAAACCAAAUUCAUUACAUGAUUAUGACAGUUAAUAAUAAUAACUAACAAUCACGAUAAAUCCAGAAUUGUUACUAAUAGAAAAUAAUUAACAAUAAUAAUAAAAUUAUAAGAAUUAAUUAACAAUAAUAAUUAAUUAGUAAUAAUCUGUUUUCAUUUUUUCAACAACUCAAAAUGAGUUAGUCCAUUGAAAAUUAUUUCGGUUUAACAUUUGUUUUCGCUACACGAAAAAGCUUGUGAUGGCAAUAGGUACAAAGCUUUUGUGAUGGUAACAUGUUGUUUCCACUUUAGCACUUGAAGUCUGGCACCACCAGCGUCCAUCUACCAGUACACAAGUAAAGCCGCGCGACGGCCUUUUUUUGGUUCAAUAAACCAGAUAUACUGCUAUGGUUGCAAUGUCUAUCAGCAAUGGUUUGGUUCAUGACUGAAUUUUCACGCAUUCUUGCUGAUUUUGAUGAGGGAUUUAUGGUGCCAUGGCUGUUGCGGGGAGUUUUAUAUGUUCGAUUACCAUAAUUGACUCUCUUGGAGGUUUUCAUCUCUCAAUAGAUGUUGUUCUUGAAGGACUUGGAUAUGCAGUUCCUCCAACUCUUCUUUUUAUACUUGAUGUAAGUUCUUUUGAUCUGCCUAUCGACUUUAAGAGAUUGAAAUUUUCUACAUUUUAAAGGUACUUACUGUUUUUCCUACACACGUGAUUAGUCUUUUGUAAAUACAAGAUAUAGUAAUGUGUAAUCUCUUUAAACUGCUGGAGAGCUGUCUCACAUAUUGGAACCAGCCUAGAAAAGUUGAAAGAACGACCUCAGAUAGGGAAGGUUGUAAGCAUCUUUCUCAAUAUGGACGAGUCUGGUGCAUGAGCAAACGAGUUCAUAUAUAAACAGAUUGAACUGCAAGAACUUAAAGUUCAUCUCAAAGGUGGAGUUUGUAGCUAGAAGUACCAGUCUUUUUUGUGAACUUGGAAUUUAUUGUACAACUAUACUUGGAUAGUAACAAAAUAUAUAGAGUAUAAUGUUUCUGGUAGC